rfam:Brassica oleracea var. oleracea cultivar TO1000 chromosome C3, whole genome shotgun sequence
UGGAUAUAAGAAACCAUUUUUUAAUUUUUAAGUAAAAAAACUAAGAGCCAGCUCUUAAAUAUCUAUUUAAGAGUCGCCCUUAGCUUUUUUACUUAAAAAUUAAGAGACGGUUUUUUAUAUCCC